AUGAACACACACUUGCUUCUGCUUUUACUCAUGAUUUCAGGUGUGACGAAUGCAGAUCAGAUUGGACCAAAUAAGGGUGAAAAUGUCAUCAGUAAAGAGGGAGAGACUGCUACAUUCAGCUGUUCGUAUGAUACAAGCAGCAGAUAUGUUAGCCUUUACUGGUACAGACAAUAUAUUAACAAAGAACUUCAAUAUUUAAUAUGGAAAGAUGCUCGAUCAUGGAGUGGUGUGGCGACUCCUGAUGAUCCUCGCAUUCGGUCUACAACAUCAGAAACCACCACUGAACUCACUAUAACUGGUGUAACUCUGUCAGAUUCAGCUCUCUAUUAUUGUGCUCUGAGAGUUGGAGCCCAGUGA